rnacentral:tRNA from 1 species
CCCGGCGUAGUCCAACAGCAGAGACAAUCCGCUCAGAACGGAUGCAGUGCGGGUGCAACUCCUGCCGCCGGGA